AGUAUGUAGAAAUGCUACCAAUGUCAUAACACAUCAUAAAUAAAGCAUGCCACUACUAAGAGUACAAAUUAGGGCAGAUAUUCUCACAAUAAACAUUUACACUAAGAUAAACCAAAGACCACCCUCUUACCCAGACCAUUUUUCUAUGACCGAUUUUCAUUCUUUGAGAACAUCAGCCUUUCUAGUAGACCACUUUUUGUGCAAUUUCGGGUGGUCGUCUCAAAGAGGUGAGCAAGAAGGCAUUCCAGGCUGUGGCAUGUGAGCAGUUUGGCCCCACCUCCUUGACACACGCUUAAAAAUAAAAAGAGUCCUGAGGAGAGUGUGCCCAAGACGGACAUUGAAGCAGAAUCUGCCACACAGGAUGGGCAGGAGUACAGGAGAACACAUGAUUCUGUACUGGGUCAUCACAUCAUUGCCACUCACCUAAGCACUGGCCAGGAAAAGGAGUGCACCGUGGACCAGAGCGGGACAAUGGAGGCACCAGGGGAGCAGUGGGAGAACAAGGAAAAAGCUCUUCAGUUUUUAUGCCUACAGGCACCUGAAAUCCAACCCUGACUGCAGAUGAUGGCAGAGAAGCAUGAAAGCAGCCAUGUAUCUCUCACACGCAUUUCCAGCAAGAAUUACAUGUUUAAGGAAUCAGGAGCUCUAUGGAAUCAGCAGCUGUAGGGAUAGAGGCAGGCUCUCAUGUACCAGCUUUAUAGUGAUCUAAUCUCCGGCGUCCAGGUGCAGCAUAUGGUAUCCACCUCAGUAAAGGGAUCACAGGAACGGCCUUCAUGCUGAUUGAGUUAUACUUCUGGAAUUUUAAUAUGAUAAAGCGUGAUCAUUUCUGCACACAAGAAGACCAGUCUGGAUCCGAUCCGUUUUUUUUUCUUAAAAGAAAAGUAAAAUAUUUUAUUUUUCUCCAAGUCACAAGUCUUUAAUUUAGUGUAAUGAAUUCCAUGUGCAUUUUACUUCAUGAAGCGAAUCAAAGCAGGAUUUAGUUUUUUUUCGCAUUGCAUGAAAAGUUCUGUACUGCAGUGUUUGUUAAUGUUAAAAUAGAGGCGUAUGAUUCAAAGAAUUGUAACUAUUUUAAA